CACUAACGGGAACGCCCACUCGGUGACGUAUAACGGUGAUGACAUAAUUAUGUUGUACAUCGCAUGCGCGAAGUCAAUAAGGCACAAGUAACUUCCGGCCGUAUGUCAACAUGGCAGAAGCGUACGACGUCCUGGAAUUUCAAGAACUUGACGGUGUAAUAGAUCUUUUCUUUGCUAAAGAUUUGUUUGAGACAUCUCAACCUGUCGUUCCAGUAGCAUCCGUAAGUUUUCUACAUAUACAACAUACAUGCAUAUAGUCACAUAGUGUUCGUAGCAAAUGGGCAAGUUAUGAAACUCAUUAUAGUCUCGACCAUGUCUAUAUAUUUUUUUUCUUCUCAAACGAUCAAAUUGCUUUGGAAAUGAAAUGAAAUGGGGUUUAACGUCCUACUGUUCUGCUCCUAUGCUGGGCUAAUGAAGACGGGCAUACGCCAUAAGGUGUGAUUUAAGGGAAAUUUUGCCCGGGCAGCGGCUCUAUCACCUAUUCUUAUAUCGAAUUCCAACUGCCACGGGAUCUUUUACGUGCAUUCCAAUGUAUACAGGUGACCUCGGGUUUUCGUAUCAUCCGAAGGAUUAGACAGCUGUCCUUGUCAGGCCCUCCGUACUGCAUCACUGAAAAGGGGGAACCACGCCGGAAAAUCUCGGCCAAUGCAGGGAUCGAACACCCGACCUCCAGGCUAGCGAGCCAGCGUCUUACCCACUUAGCCACGUGAUCCCAAAUUGCUUUGGAACAGUUUCUUUUAUUUUGUAUAAUAUUUACUUUAAAGGGACAAUAACACUCUUGCUGGCUUGAAAGCUCCAGAAAAUAAAUAAUAUCUCUAUCUAAGUACUAGAUGUUUAAGUGUCCCACCUGUUGUGUAAAUUAUCCAUUACAUCCUAUUUUACUUGUCCAGAGGGUUCGAAAAUAUUUUUAAAUCGAAGUUUCAUUUGAAAAGGUUUACGUUAGACGUUUCAAAGCAUUAUGUUGAAUUGUUUAUAUAAGGUGUGUUAAGAUGAAAUUUGUAUCAUCAAUUAAUUGAAAUAUUCUAAAAUAGCCUUCAAAGGCUAAUAUCUUCGCUCGCAAUAGAGUAAUUUGAAUGAAAUUUUCAAAUUAGUCAUUUUACAUUUUUUAUCUUCGAACUAUUAUAGCAAGAAUGGCUAGCUCUUUAUCAAAAUCUUACAUAAUGUAUAUUUAAGAAUAAUUUAAUACAUUUAUAAAGCUCACACAUUACAAGUUGUGCACCUGUAUAAAAUUUAUAUAAAUUUUGUUAUCAUUGUUAAUAUUUUAUACUGAGAUGCAAUAAAAAUAAUACAUCACUUUUAUAAAUGGAUGAAUGUAAAUCUUGUUUGAAAUGAAUCCAGGUUUAACGCCCUACUUAGUACUUUUCAGCUCAAUUUUGUUUUAAAGAUUUGCUUUAAUCUUGCAAUUAAGGAUGUAACAACAUCAUAUUACGAUGAUAACAUGUGAGAAUGUUUUGAAGAUUGCGUAAACGCACCCCGAACAAUUCUCAAUCAAAAAAAUUAAACCCAACAGAAUCAGUAUGUUGAUUUUUCUGGUACACACGUGGGGUAUAUAAUGCAGCUUUUAAAAAGCUAGGUUUUGUGGAAGGUGCAAAGUUAUGCCACGUCAUCUCAGAGGUGCUAUUUCAUUGCGUCUCGAUAUAUUUUGUUUACUAUUAUCAACCUGGCCCCAAGUUCACAAAGCAUUCCCAGACUUAAGAAUUUGCUCAACCUUCAAUCACUGUUUUUGAGAAAUAUCUUUGAUCCAGAAACACAAAACUUUGCACAGUUUCUUAUUGAUAUAUUUACAUUAAAACAACAAUAGUUAGUAAAGUGCUAUAUUUGAGUUAAAAUAAGACAAACAAUUUUGAGUAAAACCUUAACUUAAGACUGAGAAUGCUUUGUGAACUUGGGGCCUUGUUUUCUUUUCAUUACUUAUUAACUACAAUACAGUAAUAACAAGAAAUAAAAAAUCUGUAGAACACUGCUGAUUAAGUUCUAGAUUUAAUCCUAGAUUCAAUCACAUUUAUAUUUUUAUACUUCCAAUAUUGAUAUUAAUUCCAAUAGAGCCAGGAAAUGUUUAGUUUAAUUAUACACUUUCUAUUUUGUUGUAUGAAAUUAUCUGUAUAAUCUGUGUUUUUGUUACUUUCAUUGUGUGAAAUGCUUGCAGCAAAGUGCUGUAAAUAAAAUACCUGACAUCACUGAUCACAGUUUAACUCUAUAACUUCUCAUUUGACCUCAAAUCUAUGUGGAGUCGAGUCAGUUGGAAGAAAUAAAUCAAAAUGGAGUGAAAUCUACAUUUUAAUCAAAUUCAUACCACAUGAUUAUAUUCUAUCACUGUUUGCUCGUUUAUAUGGCAACUAUAUAUUAUUGCUAAGCUAUUUUUGAAUUGUAAAUUACAUUUACAAGUAUGUAAAUAUUGAUUCUUUGAAUUAUAUAUUGUCAAUCAAAAUCUGAAUAUGCAAUGUGCUAUGUAGCCAUAUAUGUGAAAUAAACUAUUAUUAUUACUAUUUACUUUCUCUGUAAAUCUCUGUUAAUCUGUCGACAACUUAAACAAAUUUCUUUUUGAGUGUCCUCAACAAAACUAUUACAUACAGAAGCAAGUACACAGCUUUCGUAAUUUCUAUGUUGACUUAUUUGUGUUCAUGAAAAUAUCAACCUGUCUGAUAUAUCUUACAGUUGUAGGCUGACAUUGAGAAUAAGACUGUAAAUGUUUUGAUGUUAUGCCCCCACAUAUCUUCAUAUUCUCAACAGUUCUUAUAAGUAAAUCUAUAGAUGUAACUUUAAUUUGAACAGGAAACAAAAAUUAUUAUAUUGUACUUCACAAUUCAAGUCCUUGUCAAUGGUUAAAUGGUAUGUUACACUUUUAUCUUCAG